rnacentral:rRNA from 1 species
UACGGGGGGGGCAAGCGUUGUUCGGAAUUACUGGGCGUAAAGGGCUCGUAGGCGGCCAACUAAGUCAGACGUGAAAUCCCUCGGCUUAACCGGGGAACUGCGUCUGAUACUGGAUGGCUUGAGGUUGGGAGAGGGAUGCGGAAUUCCAGGUGUAGCGGUGAAAUGCGUAGAUAUCUGGAGGAACACCGGUGGCGAAGGAGGCAUCCUGGACCAAUUCUGACGCUGAGGAGCGAAAGCCAGGGGAGCAAACGGG